UGUAGUCGUUUGAGAAGGUCCCCUCCGAGUGUCGCUUCAUGUUGGACAGCUCCUUCUGCUCGUCGCCUAACGUGUCGUCUGCCUCGAAACUACGGGAGGGAAAACACUCGGGAGGAGGAGGACGGGUCCGCUCAGGUGGGACGAUUUUACCACUCGGCCAGGUCCACCUGUUACUCUCAACCCAUUAGACACGGGCCCUGUCUCAUCUGCCGAAUCAACAAGCCAAGAGGAAAGGUGCCAUUCAUGCGUGAUGCCAGCUGGUACUUAGGUGUUAAGAUCAAACAACGGCGGCUCAUCCUGUUAAACAGAAAGUAAGGGAGAUGCUUUAAUGUGCUACUGUGUCAUCACGAUAGGAAGAGAUACGUGUGUGGUCGUAUCUGCGAGGUUGGGUCAGUAUUUGCGGAUUCUUUCCGAUCAAAUUUAAAAGGUGGGAAAAAUGGACCGCUCUUCGCAUCAGUGGCUGUUAUCUCCGUUUUUACAAGGGCCAUUGAUCAAUAAAGAUUGAUGCCCUGUGAAUAAACACGUUUAUGUGUAUGACUCAUAUACAGUCCCAUGUAGCAAAGGCCAAGAACUAUCAGCAUGGUGUUAAGACUGACAGAUCACAAGAUUUCUCUGUUAUUCGGCCUAAAAAUCCCCAUAAAACAAAACUUUAUUUAAUCGAAUAACACAUCAGCCUACUUAGACCUAUUGUCAGUAGCCUGAUGCUAAGCUUACUCAUGUAGAAGAACACUUCUCAUCGUUUAACCUCAAUUCAUUCCUAUUUAAAGUCAAGAAGUCUGGAGCCAUGCUAGCAGAUCUGUGCACAGUUUUUAUCUUGAGUGGAAGGUGAACACGGGGCGAUCCCUUUUUCCUGGCAGGUUGUUCAGUAGUUAUGGGAAGUUUCACUCAAAACCAAAAAAUGUAAUCGAAAGUUUUUACUGGAUGAGUGAAACGUUUGAUCUGCUGCUGGUGCUCGAUGUCAGAGAUGCAUCCUGAGCUUUGUGCUCUCGGCACCAUGAGCUUGAUAUUUGUAGUUUUGAGUGAAAUGUUUGCUGAAUUGAUCGUCUUGAGUGCUACUAGCAGAUGCUGUGGCUGAUGGUGAACACGCUUAACAUCAACGGUUUGAUAUGCAAGUUCUCUCUGAAGCUAGUUCACGCCAAAUGAUACGCUGGAACUACUUUAAUGCUGAAGCUGUUGCACCAUCUUAUCUCAACUACGGUAGCAUGAAAUCCCAACUAACCUAAAUCUUAUUGCAGAAAGUUAGGUUUUCAAUAUCUGAUAUCUUUCUCUUACCCAUUGUUUUACUACUACCUGAUAGCUGAGAGGCUAGCAGUGAAAAAUACAUCCCUUAAAAUGCUAAUAUUGAGAUUGUGGGUGUAGUAGCAUCGUACCUGACAGCCUCACAGAGCUGCAUAUGUUAGAAAGUUCAACAAUAAAUGCGAACAUCACGCUGCUAAUUCUCCUUAAAAUCAAAUGAAACACAUGCUAUUUCAAACAAAGAAAGUCAACGUUAUUUUAUUCUUUAUUAUUUUAGAAAAGCAAUUAUUACAUCAGACAUCAACAAUCUCAAAAAAAUUACUAAAAAAAGUCUAAAAUCACUGUGGCGCGUUGCAUUUCUGCACAUAAUUUAAUACAGUAUUUUAAAACCCUUCAUGUUGAAGUAGUACCCUUACAGUUUGACAGGACAUCUUCUAUGUUUACAGUAUUACAUCGGCCGUAUGUAUGCCCUCUUAAUUUAUGAAACAAAUAAACACACACACAACCCCACCCCAAAAAAGAAAUCAUGAAGAUGUGU